CGGGGGGUGCGGGGGCGGCGGCGGGGCCGGAGCAGACGGACCGAGCAUGGCCGGGGCCACCACCAUCGAGGCGGUCAAGCGCAAGAUCCAGGUGUUGCAGCAGCAGGCGGACGAUGCGGAGGAGCGGGCGGAGCGCCUGCAGCGGGAGGUGGAGGCCGAGCGCCGCAACCGCGAGCAGGCUGAGGCAGAAGUGGCAUCUUUGAAUCGCCGUAUCCAGCUGGUAGAGGAGGAGUUGGACCGAGCUCAGGAGCGCCUUGCCACGGCUCUGCAGAAGCUGGAAGAGGCAGAGAAGGCAGCAGAUGAGAGCGAAAGAGGUAUGAAAGUCAUUGAAAACAGAGCUCUUAAAGAUGAGGAGAAGAUGGAACUGCAGGAGAUCCAGCUCAAGGAAGCCAAGCACAUCGCAGAGGAGGCGGACAGGAAGUAUGAGGAGGUUGCUCGGAAACUGGUGAUCAUAGAGGGAGAUCUGGAGCGUACUGAAGAGAGAGCUGAGCUGGCAGAGUCUAAAUGUUCCGAGCUGGAGGAGGAGCUGAAGAAUGUCACCAACAAUCUCAAGUCUCUUGAGGCUCAGGCUGAGAAGUACUCUCAAAAAGAGGAUAAAUAUGAAGAAGAGAUCAAGAUCCUGACUGAUAAACUCAAAGAGGCGGAGACCCGCGCUGAAUUUGCUGAACGCUCUGUAGCCAAGCUGGAGAAGACCAUUGAUGAUUUGGAAGAGCGCCUGUACAGCCAGCUUGAGAAAAACCGCCUGCUCUCUAAUGAGCUGAAGUUAACGCUGCAUGAUCUGUGUGACUGAGGAGGGGCUCACUAAUCCCAUAAAUGAGCUUAUUGCGACCACCAGUGCUGUGGACCACAGUGAAAUCUGAUCAUUAAGACUGGCAGACUUGCGAAUUUUAUGCAAUUGCUGCUUUUUAAUGGGGCACUUCAAUUCAUCCUAUAAUUUAUUUAAGCAUUUUUUAAAACAUAUAAAGGUAACCUCUGUUCUUGGUGAAGUAACCCCCAGACUUCGCUGUUUUUUGAGCGCUCAUUUGCUUGUCCAGGGGGUCCUGCCUGGCUCCUCCAUGGAACCAGAAUGGCUGCACCCCUGAAGUGAGGGGUGGGGUGAAGUUAGGCUUAUGUCUGCUUGAAGCUGCUCCACCUGAGUUUAUGAUUAGGUAAAUGACUGUAGGAUUUCCUGAUGCAUGGAAUGAUGGCUUCUGCCAAUAAAUGACUGACCUUGUAGUCCGUGAGAUGCUGCACACCUGUAGUGUGUUCCUGUCUAGGGGAGUCCUAACCGAGAAGGUCUGGGGGCAGCAGUCAUUUCCUGGGCCUGACCCCACUGCAGCUGCAGAGCCCUGGAAGGGUUGUUGGGAAGGCUCAUGGAUAUCUUGGCAGCAGGUCCCAAAAUGCACAGCCCGGAGCUGUGUCCUGGGUGCCCGCAGGGUGUGUUUAAAUGCUGCCAUCGCUCGUGCCCGAGGAAGGCUGUUCUCUCUCUGUGCACAGUUUCUGGCUCUGGGGAGGUUGGGAGUGGCUUUGGGAAUCUGCCUGUACCUAAAGGACAUUUUUCAACAGCCUGUCUAUCCAGUGUCCCAGCGUGUGGAUGUCUCCAGUGAUAUGGGUGGGCUCACCUUUGGAAUAAAGCCUACCUAGAGCACUAGCUGCUGAUCUGCUCUCCUCCUGGCUUAAGGAACAUAUAAACUGAAAUCCACCAAAGAGGAGCAUCUCUGCACGCAAAGAAUGCUGGACCAGACCCUGCUAGACCUGAACGAGAUGUAACAGAUCCCUGCCACCGCCUCCGCCACGCGACGCCCGGCGCCGGCCCGGCCGCUGCUGCCCCUUAACCCUGGAGACCAGAGUUUACUCCCUGUUGCCAACCUGACCAAACACAAAUCUCCUUUGCCCCGGGGUUAAAGGCCACCAGGUUGGGCAGAGCUUCAAACAGCAUCAUUAAGGGAAAGAAACAAUGCAAUAAUAAUAAUAAUGUUUGGGGGAGCAUGUUUGAGAUGUACACAUUUUGUAACUACCUUUUUUUUUUUUUUUUUGUAGCGACCAUUGUAAACAUUCCAAAUAUCGUGUGAGGCUGGUGAGCUACACUUCAAAGCUCUCCUGGCUUUAAAAUUUGGUAUUAACCUUCUGUUAAUUGGCUCUAGGCCACCCUGCUUUGGCAGGGCAGGAAAAGGGUGUGAUGGUGCUCGCUGUGAGUCAGAGUAGCCAGGCUAGGGAUAGAAGCCUAUUGGGAAAACUUCCUUUCCAAGAGCUGUUUGCCAAAAGUGCAGUUCAGUUUCUCAGCUUUAAGGUUAACUGUGCUGGGGAGGAGCAACUUGUGUGAAAGGUACUUUGUUUUGUUCUUUUUUUUUUUUUUUUUAAGCCAAGCCAGUCAUCUGAACAACUGAACCUUCACAAAGAUUGUGUCCCUUCUACCCCACUGUUGGCCACUUCCUUUCCUGGUGGGCUUAGAGCAGCCACAGCCCCUCUAACCCAUUGCUACCCUGGGGCUGACUUUGCCUUCACUAAGUGCUGAUGCACCAAGAAACUUCACCGCUCGUUGCUGGGUUACACUUAACAGCUUAAGUACAACGGCCUUGUGUUCUUGGAGAAGUGUUUUUGCCUACCUGGAGGGAGGGAGCUGAGCCUUCCCUCCUGGCCAGGACUGCUCUUACUGUCUUAAUUGGGUACAAGCCAUCUCGCUGUGCAUUGCUGGUGUUCCGUGGUUGUGAGGCGCGAGCCACGCUCGCGGUGUGUAGCUUGUGGUUUGAGCAUGCUGCUUGGUUGUAGCAGUUUUAGGGGCCAAUCUGGAGACAAAAACCCUAUCCAGUGUUUUGAUACUAAAUUGAAAAAAUUGUGUUACUGUCUUUUGAAAUAAAAACCGAUCCCCUCCACACCA